ACAAUCUGUCGACAAAGGCAAUAGGUACCUCACCGAUAGUAUAGUUAUGUUCACGAGCACGGGCGAUAAUUUCCUAAAAUAGUUAGUAUUAUGCCAUGAAAUUGACUAUUCAUCUAGAUUAGGAGAGUAAUAAGGAAGAAGUCUGUCACAAAAAUUUCUUGUUGGCUUCAAUUAGAAAACUAAAUAUCAUCAACAUACCAUUUGAAAUACAUAACCUUUGCUAGUGACCUCACUCAUAAGGGUCUCUAAUACGGGCUUCUUGUAAAGGCGGAAACUUCCAGUUACAUCUGAUACUCCAGUUCCUAAAACUGUGCUAGCAAGCAAAUUGGCACC